UCUUCUCUCGUCGGUGCGCUAUAAACGCGGAAUUGGCAAAAUCCAGAAGACUCGCGUGGACGAGGAAAAAUUAUUUAGUACACAGCGGAAUCUGCGGUUGAUCACUCGGAAACAAGAAUAGCUGGAAAUAUAGUCAGACACUACCGCGCAGCAUGGGAACACUUUCGGAAUGCAUCACCAAAAUCUCGCACAAAUAUAAGUCAGAUCUAUGCUAUACUUCCGGUAUCCGCUGAGUAUAGCAAAUUUAUGGCUUUCAGCAUGGCCGCUUACAUAAAUGUUUAUGACAUGACACUUGACCGGGGACAAGCGCGAUGGACCGGAUUAAGCAGGCUAGGGUGCGAAAUACACGCUAUCGGGCCCAACCCCCACGGACAACGGAGGUCCGGCUAACAGAUACCGAAGUAACAGCGGACUGCUGUGACGCAAGAGCUUAAAGGGCCGCGAAGCGACUUCCGACCUUCGACAGACUUUGGUCGCGGACACAAAGCAUUGACAAACAUGAAACCAGAACACGGGAAAAGGAGCCAGGCUAUGAAAAUUCGCGAUCACCCCUAGCCGAGUCGACCGCAACGAAUCACUGGGCAUCAGCACCGACCGAGGCCGGAAGUCCCCGAGGGGACUUGAAUUUACGCUUCAACCUUCGUCACUGCCCGCCGCAAAGCCGAAGCUAGGGCAGGUUAGACGUAAGGAACCACGUUCGAUCUCCGAAGACGAACCACGUUAACCCUAGAUCAGCGCGCAAAGUGUUUCCUGCAGAGGGUGAUUAGAAGUUACCGGGAUUUGAGGUCCCAUACGCCAAGUGGAGUAGCACAAGCGAACGCAGAUUGACGUGACCGCUCCCCUAGAGAGCGCAGUAAGGGAUGCCGACGCCAACCCAUGACUCCCCACCGCUCAAACCGUCUUGGCAUAUUUGCUGCGGAGUUUACUGCGAUACCAAAGUGAUAUCACGAAGAAGGUAUAGCCCAGCGGAAGAAAUUGGGAAAGUAUGUAACACAAAGAAAGAGAGAGAGAGAGAGAGUGAUAGAAUUAGAUAAUCAAAUAUUACCUUAGAAUAUA